GAUGAACGCUGGCGGCGUGCCUAACACAUGCAAGUCGAGCGAUUCUCUUCGGAGAAGAGCGGCGGACGGGUGAGUAACGCGUGGGUAACCUGCCCUGUACACACGGAUAACAUACCGAAAGGUAUGCUAAUACGAGAUAAUAUGCUUUUAUCGCAUGGUAGAAGUAUCAAAGCUCCGGCGGUACAGGAUGGACCCGCGUCUGAUUAGCUAGUUGGUAAGGUAACGGCUUACCAAGGCGACGAUCAGUAGCCGACCUGAGAGGGUGAUCGGCCACAUUGGAACUGAGACACGGUCCAAACUCCUACGGGAGGCAGCAGUGGGGAAUAUUGCACAAUGGGCGAAAGCCUGAUGCAGCAACGCGUGAGUGAAGAAGGGUUUCGGCUCGUAAAGCUCUGUUGUUAGAGAAGAACGUGCGUGAGAGCAACUGUUCACGCAGUGACGGUAUCU
rnacentral:rRNA from 1 species